CCCCUCAAAUGCUAUAUGCUAUCUAACUCUCCUCUUUUAUUGAACUAAAGAAGGUCAUCUUUAAUAUCUUUUGCAUCCAAGAUUAAGCAUGUACUACUAAAAGCUUUUAAAUCAUCAUUACUUCAACACAUGUGAAAAUUUCUACUCAUCUUAGACAUCUUUAAAAAAAAAAAAAGAAAGAAGGAAAUAUAGAUGCUUGGAAACUUAGGAUUAGGAUAUCAUGGAUAUCUGCAGACUCAGACUGGACCUAGACAUGAUAUGCAG
rnacentral:lncRNA from 1 species